UGGUGUCAUGUGCCAUGUAGCUCCUGAAUCCAUAAGCCAGACAUUAGAAAAUUUAUUUCUGCCUUCAACAAUUGUUGUUGCCUCGCUGUACAAAAUUUCACCAUCAUCUGAGGUGCUUGCUACACAACCCUGAGCUUUUGACAUCUCAGGACCUUUUUCUUUGGCUUCUUCAUUCUUCUUAAAGCUCCAACAAUCCCUUUUUAAAUGCCCUUUCUUGCCACAGUAAUGACACUUGACAUUUUUAUUACUCUUGAAUUUUGAUCUACUCUGAUUAUGACUCCCACUGGAGCCACGUUCCGUUGAUCUCCCUCUCAUCAUCAUUAAAGCUUCCACCUGAUGCAAACUUGUCGAUCUAUCCUCCUCAUUUUUUUUGCCGACUUUCUUCUUCAAGAACAGCAGCUACAAUAAGACUAGAGUUUCAAGGUUGUUGGUUAAGUUGAUGAUGAGUAGAUCAUACGAAUCUGGCAGACUUUGAAGUAAGAUUUCAGCACGUUCACCCGCCUCUAUAUUAUGCUCCAUUGAUGUGAGCUGUGAAAAAAAAGUGUUGAGGGUGUUGAUGUGGUCGGUUACCGUAGUUGACUCCAUCAUCCGAAGGGUGUAAAGCUUCCUCUUCAAGAAGAUUUUGUUGUGUAACGAUUUGGCCUCGUACUGUUUUGUCAGCAUAUCCCAUAUUUCUUUCGCCGUCUUUUUCUCUACCACACUUGACAAUACUCCAUCGGCUAGUGCAAGGUGCAGAUUAGCAACUGCAUUGCUAUCCAUCUCGUUCCACUUAGUAUCAUCAAUGAUCUUCACAGGCCUUUGUCCAAUUGCCGCCAAGCAGUUAUCUUUCCGCAAAACUGCUUUUAUUCUCAUUUUCCAUAAUGAGAAAUUAUUCCCAUUGAACUUUUCAAUCUCAUACUUUGUCGCCAUUUUGUUCACCAAUAAUAUAACUAAACAACGACCCUACACAGAACCUUGCUCUGAUACCACU
rnacentral:lncRNA from 1 species